rnacentral:rRNA from 1 species
AUGAGUCUUGAUAACGGAUAUCUUGGCUCUUGCAUUGAUGAAGAACGUAAUGAAUUGCUAUACUUGGUGUGAAUUUCUAAAUCUCGUAGACCAUCGAGUCUUUGAACACAAAUUGUGACCUAGGCCAAUUAGGUUAGGGCCACAUUUGCUUGGACAUCACAC